CUCAUUACCACUACACCUGGAACAAACUAGAGAAAAAAUGAUCUCACGCUAAAGUUCAAAAUAUGCCUUUUGAAUUACACCAGGGUGUAUUCUUUAAUAUGUGUUUGUGGGGAAGUUUCAAUAACCAACCAUCUAAACUACUUGAAAAGGGAACAUGGACACAGCGUAAAACUUCAAAGUUAGAAAAAAACUGAAUGGCUGCGUCUUAAAUGUGCCCCUUCAACAUCCACAUAUACCUGGCAAUGGUACAUACGGGGGUAUUGCUGUACUCAGAUGACAAAGCUGAGCAACAUAUGAAGUAUUAUACAGUCACAGCACACAUAAGGUUUGCAAAAUAUACUGCGCAAACUCACUUUGUGUGUCAAAAAGGCAGAAAAAAACGCUUAUUACCACUACACUUGGUACAAGCUAGCGGAAAAAUGAUCCCACGCUAAGGUUCAAAAUAGCCUGGGAUGUGUUCUUUAAGAAAUGGUAUGCCUUUAUGAUGUAGUUGUAAUAUGUAGCCUGCUCAAAUGCUACAAAGUGAAACACGGACACAUCAAAACCCUCCAUGAAAAUUCACACUUAAAAACCUGAACUCGUCACGUCUCUUUUACAGCACUGUAACUUCACAAAAUAGUGCCAAAGACAUACAAUGGGGGUGUCAUUUUACUCAGAAGACUUAGCUUAUCAUAAUUUGGGGGGUUUGAAGUUAGUAGCACAUAUGAAAUAUACACAAUGCCCAGCAAAAAUGUAAUCCUUAUGUAAAAGAAAUGCCCAAAAUUAUUUUUUACCACAUACUUUGGCAUAUAUUGGUGAAAAAAUGGGAGCAUGUUAAGGCACAAUAUGCACCAUAUGAGAUACCCUGGAGUGUCUACUUUUACAAAUGGUAUGCCUUUGUGGGGGGUUUUUGAACAGUCAAACUGUUAUAAUACCCCAAAUGGAAGCAUAGGCUCAUUAUUGAAUACUGAAAAGGACAGGUCUCCUGUAUGGCACUGUAGCUUCACGAAAUAGUGCCAAACACAUACAAUGGGGGUGUAAUUUUACUCAGCAGAUGUAACUGAACACAAAAUAAAACUUUGUACAGAAAAAGCACACAACAACUUUACUAAAUACACAUGAGAAGUUCUUUGUUAUAAGUUUGUGUGCCAAAAAACAAAAAAAAACAACAACAAUUUUACUCCACUAUUUAGCAGAGGUUGGCGGUGAAAUGGCUACGUAGAAAGUGUCAAAACAACCUUAGAUAAAUAGCCUGUGAUGUCUACUUUAUAUAAAUAUAUACUUUUGUGUGGCAAUUUUGUUUUCUUUUAUGGCUAUUAAGCUUACAAGACAAAAAUACAAAAUUCUAAAAUCGCUCAACAUUAAAAGUUUAUUUUAUUGCUUGUGUUUUGUGACCUGUAACUACCAAAAAAAACUUAAAAUCCCA